rnacentral:lncRNA from 1 species
CCCCAACCCGCGCCUCACCUUCUGCCUCAAGACCUACGAGCGCCUGUUCUGGCUGGUGGCGCCGAGCGCCGAGGCGCUGCGCAUCUGGAUGGACGCCGUGCUGACGCUGACGCGCGGCGCCGCCGCCUUCUGACGCCGGAGCCUUCGCCGGACCUUUCCGGAAUUUUCCUGACCUUUACCAGCCUUUUAUUGCCUUUUCCCAGCAUUUUCUGGCCUUUUCCAGCCUUUUCCAGGCCUUUUAUUGCCUUUUUCCGGCCUUUUUUGGCCUUUUCCUGACUUUUUCUGGACUUUUCCAGACUUUUCCUGACCUUUUAUUGCCUUUUUCCAGCAUUUUCUGGUCUUUUCCCAGCAUUUUCUGGCCUUUUCCGGAGUUUUCCGGCCUUUUCCUGACCUUUUAUUGCCCUUUUCUUGCCUUUUCCGGGCCUUUUCCCCUCACCCUUGUGGCCUUUUCUGGCUUUUUCCGGCCUUUUCUAGCAUUUUCUGGGCCUUUUCUGGCAUCUUCCUGACCUUUUUCCAGCAUUUUCCGGCAUUUUCCAGCCUUUUCUGGCUUUUUCUUGGCCUUUUCCGGCAUUUUCCCGCCUUUUUCCCCUCACGUUUUCCCGCCCUUUUUCCCCUCACGUUUUCCCGCCCUUUUCUCCCCUCAAAAUCCCCCUUUUCUCCCCAAAAUGGAACUGGGAGCCCCGAGCCCUUACUGGGAGCACUGGGAGCACUGGGAGCUUCCCCUCCUUGUAUUUAUUAAAGGUUUUUUUGGGAAAAAAACUCCUUUUCUGGUCAUUUUUGGGUUGGGGGAGGGGCUGGCUGGGCCUUAACGAGCUUUUUCUAAUGAUUAUUAUAAAUUAUUAUUAUUAUUAUUAUCAUUAUUAUUAUUAU